CUUUUCUCGCUUGUGAAGGCAAUUGGAAGAUGAAGCACCUGAAGUCAUUCUAUCGAAUGGCUACCAAAUUUCCCAUAAAUCCAAAUCCUAUCUCAAAAUGUUCGGCAGUGGAAAAUCCUACUUCAAGAGCCAGCUUCUCUAACUCGUUUCCUGUCAGAAAGUCCUUGAUAGAGCUUUUCAAGUAUUUGUACUCAUUUUCUAGGCCAUAACCACUCGCUACAGGAACAACUAUAUUGUCGAUCAUCAUUUCCUGAACUGUGGUGCUCAAGGGGUUGAUACUCUUAUUGAAGUCAAGAACAGAUAAUGUUGAGCCUGGUUUCAUAACUCGACAUAUCUCUGUCAUAGCUCUAUGUCUAUCUACCACAUUGCGUAACCCAUAGCCAAUAGUAACAGCAUCAAAGGAGGAGUCAGGAAAAGGUAAAUCAAGUGCAUUGCCCUCCAUCCACUUGAUGUUCUUGUAACAUGUCUUUGAACGUAAUUUCUGCCGAGUCGAAGCGAUUAAUAAUUGUUCAUUUGAGAAAUCAAGACCGACCGCCUUGCCAUGGGGUCCAACUUUUUCAGACAGAAGAAACGUCAAAUCCCCACUUCCACAACAGAUAUCUAGUACAGUGUCCCCUUCUUUAGCUCCGCUCCAGGAAACAGCCAUUCUUUUCCAUAUGCGGUGUUGGCCCAAACUGAGAAGAUCAUUCAAAUUAUCAUAAACAGGGGCAAUGCGGUUAAACAGGGCUUGCCGGUCGGCGGAACAUCGGAUUAACAACUUGCCUGUUGGCCUGAAACUGGGACGUGGAAGUGAAG
rnacentral:misc_RNA from 1 species